rnacentral:rRNA from 1 species
AUUGAACGCUGGCGGCAGGCCUAACACAUGCAAGUCGAGCGGAGCGGCGGACGGGCGAGUAAUGCCUAGGAAUCUGCCUGGUCGUGGGGGAUAACGUCCGGAAACGGGAGCUAAUACCGCAUACUAUCAGAUGAGCCUAGGUCGGGUUGGCUAGUUGGUGGGGUAAAGGCCUACAAAGGCGACGAUCCAUACCUGGACUGAGAGGAUGAUCAGUCAAACUGGAACUGAGACACGGCCCAGAUCCCUACGGAGGGCAGCGGUGGGGAAUAUUGGAAAAUGGGCGAAAGCCUGACCCAGCCAUGCCGCGUGUGUGAAGAAGGUCUUCGGAUUGAAAAGCACUUUAAGUUGGGAGGCGGUACCAAAAGAAUAAGCACCGGCUAACUUCGUGCCAGCAGCCGCGGUAAUUC